rnacentral:rRNA from 1 species
CCCUUAGAUGUCCUGGGCCGCACGCGCGCUACAAUGAUAAAUUCAGAAUGUUUUUCCUGCCCUGGAAAGGUGUGGGUAAUCAUUAUAGUAUUUAUCGUGUUAGGGAUCGAUCUUUGCAAUUAUAGAUCUUGAACGAGGAAUGCCUAGUAAGUGCAGCUCAUCAGGCUGUACUGAUUACGUCCCUGCCCUUUGUACACACCGCCCGUCGCUCCUACCGAUUUCGAGUGUUCAGGUGAAUCUUCUGGACUGAGUCGCAAGACCCGGGAAGUUAGAUAAAUCUUAACACUUAGAGGAAGGAGAANUCGUAACA